UACGUAGGGUGCAAGCGUUGUCCGGAAUUAUUGGGCGUAAAGAGCUCGUAGGCGGUUUGUCGCGUCUGCCGUGAAAGUCCGGGGCUCAACUCCGGAUCUGCGGUGGGUACGGGCAGACUAGAGUGAUGUAGGGGAGACUGGAAUUCCUGGUGUAGCGGUGAAAUGCGCAGAUAUCAGGAGGAACACCGGUGGCGAAGGCGGUUCUCUGGGCAUUACCUGACGCUGAGGAGCGAAAGUGUGGGGAGCGAACAGG
rnacentral:rRNA from 1 species